UACAGAGGGUGCAAGCGUUAAUCGGAAUUACUGGGCGUAAAGCGUGCGCAGACGGUUGCGUAAGUCAGAUGUGAAAGCCCCGGGCUCAACUGGGGAGGGUCACUCGAUACUGAUCGACUUGAAGGCAGGAGAGGGAAGCGGAAUUCCCGGUGUAGUGGUGAAAUGCGUAGAUAUCGGGAGGAACACCAGUGGCGAAGGCGGCUUCCUGGCCUGUUCUUGACGCUGAGGCGCGAAAGCUAGGGGAGCAAACGGG
rnacentral:rRNA from 1 species